rnacentral:rRNA from 1 species
CCUACGGGAGGCUGCAGUGAGGAAUAUUGGUCAAUGGGCGGAAGCCUGACCCAGCCAAGCCGCGUGAGGGAAGAACGUACCGCGUAUCGUAAACCUCUUUUGUCAGGCGACAAAUGCGUGGACUAGUCCCCGGAUGAGGGUCCCUCACGAACAAGCAUCGGCUAACUCCGUGCCAGCAGCCGCGGUCUUACGGAGGAUGCGAGGGUUAUCCGGAUUUAUUGGGUUAAAAGGGUCCGCAGUCGGCCUUUUAAGUCAGCGGUAAAUGCCCGGGGCUAAACCCCGGCGAGCCGUUGAAACUGGCGAGCUUGAGUGGGAGGGAGGUAGGCGGAAUGCGCGGUGUAGCGGUGAAAUGCUUAGAUAUCGCGCAGAACCCCGAUUGCGAAGGCAGCGUACCGGCUCGACACUGACGCUGAGGCACGAAAGCGUGGGUAGCGAACAGGAUUAGAUACCCUAGUAGUC